rnacentral:rRNA from 1 species
GGUGCAUGGUUGUCGUCAGCUCGUGUCGUGAGAUGUUGGGUUAAGUCCCGCAACGAGCGCAACCCCUAUUGUUAGUUGCCAUCAUUCAGUUGGGCACUCUAGCGAGACUGCCGGUAAUAAACCGGAGGAAGGUGGGGAUGACGUCAAAUCAUCAUGCCCCUUAUGACCUGGGCUACACACGUGCUACAAUGGUUGGUACAACGAGUUGCGAGUCGGUGACGGCGAGCUAAUCUCUUAAAGCCAAUCUCAGUUCGGAUUGUAGGCUGCAACUCGCCUACAUGAAGUCGGAAUCGCUAGUAAUCGCGGAUCAGCACGCCACGGUGAAUACGUUCCCGGGCCUU